rnacentral:lncRNA from 1 species
GCCUGCGGAGCGGAGGAAGACAAACAUAAAGAUGAAGUGCUUAAUUCAAGGUCACACAAUGUCGGGGAUGGACCUCCAGAUUUCCUUACUGACCUGCAUUAUCUUGUGGAUACCUGAGUGAAUUCCACACCACCCAUUUUAUAGAUGAAACCACUGAGACAUGGAGCAAUUGACUGAGUAGUCACUGCCCCACCCCUGCCUGGAGCCUCACACAUGACUCGCCUCCUCUCAGUGACCACAGGUGAGACGUGGUCUUGUAACACAGUGGUUAAGAAUGUGACUUUGGAGCCAGCCUGCUAGGGGCUGAAUUCUGACUCAGCCAUUUACUAACUGUGUGACCUUAGUCUCACUGUUGCUCAGGCUGGAGUGCAAUGGCAUGAUCUCGGCUCAUCACAACCUCUGCUUCCUGGGUUCAAGCGAUUCUCCUGCCUCAGCCUCCCGAGUACCUGGGACUACAGGCACUCGCCACCAUGCCCGGCUGAUUUUUGUAUUUUUAAUAGAGAUGGUUUCACUAUGUUGGCCAGGCUGGUCUCGAACUCCUGACCUUGUGAUCUGCCCACCUCAGCCUCGAAAAGUGCUGGGAUUACAGGCGUGAGCCACUGCGCCCAGCCUUGUAUUUUUUUUCAGUUUGGGUAGCUGUCCCUAAUUCAUUUGUUAAAGGAGAAGCAAGAGCAAGAACCUUUAAUCUGUUCUCCUCUUCCCUAAUUUGAAAGUAGCUUGUUAUUUUGAAUAUCACUUUCUCUGAAAUAGCACAUCUCCAUCUCAGAGAAUGGAUUUAAUGUUUGGAUACAGCCAAAAGUCAUUUCAUUACCAAACCAUGGGGUGAAUAUACCAUGUAAAGCAGUUUGGGAUCAGAACUCACAGUCUGAAUUGUAAGUGAUGAGACUGCUGUCUCUCUGCUACAGCUUCUUGGCUGGCUCUGAAGGCUCUUUGAAGGCAGAUCCUAACAAGGGGACUGCUUUGAAGGGCCAUUGUUCAUUUGGAAUGAUAAAGUCUAUGUUGUUCAAAAAACAAAUGCUUGUAGCAGGUAUUUUUUCACUCCAGACUGAGAAUAUUGGUGGGAUAUUGAUAAGGGGUACUGAAUGGUAAUAAACAUGUGCUCUAGCUCUGUGCUAGUCAGCUUAUUUCAGAACUCUAGUUUGAUUCAGUUUCUUGCCUCUGACUCAAAAUGGAGGGAGAGUGAUUUUUACAUAAGAGAACACACCCACAUAUCCUUUUGGCAGCAGCUACCUGCCAGAGAUGUUGAAGAAGAGUAGCCAACCUUUACACAGCAGAUAUUGUGUGCCAGUCAUAGUCCUAAGUAUAAUACCUUACAUGUAUAAACUUCUUAUAAGGUUGGUGCUCUGUACCGAAUUGAAUAGUAUCCCCCAAAAUUCAUGUUGUCCCAGAACCUAUGAAAGUGAUCUUACUUGAGGGAGGGGGGAGGGGGGAGGGAUAGCAUUAGGAGAUAUACCUAAUGCUAAAUGACGAGUUAAUGGGUGUAGCACACCAGCAUGGCACAUGUAUACAUAUGUAACUAACCUGCACAUUGUGCACAUGUACCCUAAAACUUAAAGUAUAAUAAUAAUAAAAUAAAAAAAAAAAAGAAAGUGAUCUUACUUGGAAAUAAGGUCUUUGCACAUAUGAUCAAGUUGAGAUGAAGUUGUACUGGAAAGUCUGUCUAGUGACUGGUGUUGUCAUAAGAAGAGAGGGACACAGAGGGAAGAUGGCCACAUGAAGAUGGAGGCAGAGAUUGCAGUUAUGCUGCUGCAAACUAAGGAAUGGCUCUGGCCCUCCAAGGAUUGCUGAUAACCACCAGAAACUAGAAGAGACAAGGAAGGAUUCUUCCCUAGAGCCUUCAGAGGGAGCAUGGCCCUACUGACACCUGGAUUUCAAACUUGUAGCUUCCUAAACUGCAAGAGAAUAAAUUUCUGUUGUUUUAAGCCAUAUAGUUUGUGGUAAUUUGUUAUGGCAGUCCUAGGUAAU